AAGUUGUGUAUUCGUCAACACGAGUACAAGUUUGGAGCGCAUGGUAGGUACAACAUCGAAGGCCAUGCCGCUGAGCUACCCCGGCUCCGAUCCAUCAUCCUGCAUAGUGUCGGCCCGUCAAACUCCCACUCCAUUACCACACUCAGCGUGGGAAUAGUGAAGAUGGCCGUACUGGCUGCCCAUGGCAAAUCUCGCAAGACGACGUCGGACGUACAAUAUGUGUCCUGCGUCGGCCUUACGUGAGAGUCUCAUUGGCUAGCCAGUGGGUCCCAUAGCCAGAUGGGACCUUGUAGCCGGCGGGCCCCUCCAGCGACAAGACAAGACCACUAUGGACCCCCUGGUCAGCCGGCGAGGCUGCUAGCUGGGUCCCACUCAUGUACUUUUAUCCUUAUUGUAGGUCAGUGGGUUCGUCUAUAAAACCCCUCGACCUCCCUCCAUGCUGAGGGUCGGUCAAUCCUUCAUACACACACUCAUACAGGAGAGGUAGACACGAGCCGACUGCUCCUUUUUCCUCCUCCACAGAACAACUCUAGGAGCACAUUGUAGCCUCACUAGUGCAUUAUACACUCCGGCGGGAUUAGGGGUGUUAUCUCUACUGAGAGCCCUGAACCUGGGUACAUCAUGUGUUCCAUGCUUGCACCAACCUCGUCCCCAGCGCCCUCCGGUGUCCUUUCGAUUCUUACCAUCUUUAGGCUACCCAUGUCAUAUGUUGUGAGUAAACACCGACAUUUGGCGCCCACCGUGGGGCCGUCCGCGGCAUCGGCCAGAUUUCGCCUACACGGACGGAUGCUUCGUGUCCGAACCGAUCAGCAUGCCUGUGGAGCCUGCCCUUGAGGAGGUUUCUACGAUGUUGAUCGACGUCCCAUUCCGUUCAAAGAUGAACACUUUGGCUGCAAUUCAGUUCAAAGUUGAGUGUACAACCAUGUGCUCAUGAGUGUAAACUGCCAUGUAUAGAUUGUACAUUAUUAGAUCUAAACAAUACACAUCACUAUACAUAACUUGCAAUUUCCUUUGUUAAUUGAUGUUUGUACUCCCAAAUAAUGCAUGAAAUAGCUAUUUUACAGGGAAUAAGUAUUAGGGAGGCCAUCAUUUAUAUACCAACAAAGAGUAUGCAGAUACUACAACUUUCAUUGAGCCAUUUUUCAUUUCUAUCGAUUUCCAUCCCUGAAAUUCAGGCAGAUGCAUCUCGAUCUGAUUUCAAUCCCUCGAAAUUCAGAAACUUGAUGUGAUUUUGGAUUACUUUUAAUCGCCCUUCACGGCCACCUAUAAAACACAUUGUAUUGCAUCUCCAACACAUCUAGGCAUGUAUGUAAACUGUUAUCUGAGCAAGGACAGCCUAUAUUAGAAUCAUCAAAUACCUUGUACCAAGUAAAGAGUAAUCAUCAAGUACCAAGUAAAGAGUAUUACCGAGAAUCGUGCCUAGCUUUCUACCCAACUUGCAUAUUUCCUCUACCGUGCCUAGGCAAGCACCAAAUCAUACAAAUUGGAAUUCGGCGAGAUGCAUUGCAUCCUUCAACCAAUGAACGACCGUUGCCAACUCAUCUUCAUACUUGAAAUGGCCACCAAUCCACCUUCUUCCUGAAAAGCAGAGCAAAGAAGAACAGAGUAGAGAUAUAUUGGGAGAUACAAUUGAAGGUUGGAUUCCUUUGGAUUUCGUAUAACUUUCCAACGAAUAGCUGAUUGGUUUAGCACAUGUGCCAUGUGUUAAUGAACACUAAUUGACGACCGCAGUCCUUUGGAUCCUCUAAAGUUCAGAUGUCAUAAAACAAAAACACAAACACUAAUCCUGGAUGGGUGAAUGAAUCUGAAAUUGUCACGCCAUUGUGGUCGUGCAUAGCAUUCUGCCCGAGGAGAUGUGUCGCCGUCAGUUCUCGAAGGCGUAGAUGGCGAGCUCGCAGCUACGGGCCUACACAUCUAGUGUGACAUAGACCUAGAAAUUGCAAUGUUCAGGGUGUUCACACCGUGCAGCAGCACAAAACUGAACACAUAUAUAUAACAGUUACUUUUUCACAAUAUAUGUAGAAGAAUUGAACAUUCAGGAAGUCUUCCAUAGGUUUUAGUACCUGCAUACCCCAUGGUCGUUGCCAGUCACACUAACUAAUUUGUCAUCAUGAAGAACUACAUUAAUCUCAGUAGUAUAGCAUGUUUGAGCUUCAUCGACAGCAUUAUCUAGUAGUAUUUCAUAAACCUAGGACAUGCCAAAUGAAAAUGGUGGGCAGGCAAGAAACAAAAUGUAGCACCAAGUAACAUGGAAAAAAGAAAUGCAUAAUCCAUUGAGAUAUAUAUCAAAUGAUGCAAUCCACGUGGUCCUCGUCUUGUGCCUACAUAUUAAUAUUACUUCUAAGACCUGUAAGACCGUAAAUAUUAACAAGAGCAUCCUAUUAACAGGAAAUAAUUCAUCUACCUAUUUUCAACCGCAAUCGUAAACAAUACAACCACUGCAUUGGCAUUACCAGAUGGCACAACACAGUAGAGCUAGCAGCAACUGAAAAUCCGAAGCUCUCUACCAUUUGCAUCCAUGGCUGACCCAUCUUAUCAAUCGUAACUGCCAUUGACAUUCACAUGUACAAACAAUGCGGUGGUUCUACACGUGCUCAAUCCAGAUGUCAUUCUUUGUGAAGGGAAUAUGGAAUAGGCAGUAUUACCUUUCUUGUCAAUGCAGUGGUCAUGGUCGCGACGCAGUCCAUCAACAGGUGGAGGCCAUGGCGACCUUCGUCGAAGAGGACCUAGCCAGCUCCCAGCUUGCCACCAUCAAGGCCCACCGCAGCAACGAGCUCUCCUAUGUGCUGCACCCAGAAAAGGAGUGGAUCUGGAUCAAGCACAUACACAAAAAAUGGGAUGAUCAGGAGGCACUCGUGUGGGGAAGGGAGGGGUGUGACUCGAGGGAGUUGGUCAGCCAACGGAGAGCGGCUGCGAUAGAGGAGGAGGAGGAGAAGGAGAGAGAGAGGAGUUGGGGGGAGGUGCAGCGCCGGCGUCAAGUGUGGCCGACGGUGGAAAACCACAGGGGUGGGGAGCACUUCAUCUAGGGGUGCGAGAGGCUGCGGGGUAGGAUAUGGUGGCGCGCGACGGAGGCGUUGGGGACUGCGGCGAGCGUUGGAGGAGUCGGGACCGGCGGCGCACGACGUCGUGGCAGGGGGUGGCAGCGCGCUCGCGCUGGAGAUGGGAGUUAAGGUUGUGGGUGGUCUGGUAUUUAUUUAUU
rnacentral:lncRNA from 1 species